rnacentral:rRNA from 1 species
AAACUGGGAUUAGAUACCCCACUAUGCUUAGCCGUAAACAUUGACAGUCUAUAACAUUUUCUGUCCGCCUGGGGACUACGAGCAUUAGCUUAAAACCCAAAGGACUUGGCGGUGCUUUAGACCCACCUAGAGGAGCCUGUUCUAGAACCGAUAAUCCCCGUUCAACCUCACCCCUCCUUGUCCAUCCCGCCUAUAUACCACCGUCGUCAGCUUACCCUGUGAAGGAUAAAAAGUAAGCAAAACUGGUACUACCCAGCACGUCAGGUCGAGGUGUAGCGAAUGGAGGGGGAAGAAAUGGGCUACAUUCCCUUAUCUACAGGGAACCACGAAUGGCAUACUGAAAAUGUGUGCCUGAAGGAGGAUUUAGCAGUAAAAGGAAAGUAGAGUGUUCCAUUGAAGCCGGCUCUUAAGCGCGCACACACCGCCCGCCGGUCCACCCUC